rnacentral:rRNA from 1 species
AGCUCCAAUAGCGUAUAUUAAAGUUGUUGCAGUUAAAACGCUCGUAGUCGGAUUUCGGGGCCUGCCUGCCGGUCUGCCGAUGGGUAUGCACUGGCAGGCGCGUCCUUCCUUCCGGAGACUGUCCCUACUCUUAACUGAGCGGGGUCGGGAGACGGAUCGUUUACUUUGAAAAAAUCAGAGUGUUUCAAGCAGGCAGCUCGCUCUUGCAUGGAUUAGCAUGGGAUAAUGAAAUAGGACUUUGGUG